ensembl:lncRNA
AAUUACCUAACAUUGCAGCGUCCUUGCUGAAUUGUCUGCGUUUUUCAAACCAGCUGUCCAGUUUGCCAAAGCUGUUCUGAUUUGUCAGCUGUGUGCUAGCACCUUCUUUUAGCUUGAAUCUGCAUGUGAAUUUUAGAGCUGCUAUUCUGUAAAAGGAGGAAUCUAUCAGUUUGACCAUGAGUAGCAGCCAGCACGGAUUUGUCAAGAAUAAACCACUUCCUUGCUGUCAGUUACAGGUGCUAUGUGCUGCAGCUUCCUGUCUGGGACACUGAUCGGUGCUGCUCUUCUGGGUCGUGCUUGCUCUCUCAGGAGGCCACAACCCAUGUUAACAGGGUUUCCACAUGCUCUGGCCUCUUGUGCUUCUUCGCCUCACAAUCUGCUCACCCAGCCAAGAGCAUCCUGAACAAAUGAAUGCUGGUAACUGGAGGGUUAUUGUUAUUGUUCUAAGAGCAAUUAAGAGUACUAGAGUUGGUCACUGAGUUUGUGCAUCUACAGGUGGCACGUUCCUGCUGGUAAGGUUCAACACUACUCCAGCAUAGGGCUCAGACUAGGGCUGUUCUUGCUAGAGGGAAGGGAGGCCCUCUAUCAGGGCAGCCAGGUCCAAAGAUCACCGUCCCUCUCUGGGGGUGUCUGGUUGUCACCUGUGAGUCACUGCAGAGGGUGGCACUUAGGAAAGCUCUGUCUUUGCCACUUGGUGAGGCACAACCAGGCCUUGCAGGAGGUGGAGUUGGGUACACCAUGCUGAGAGCCAUCAAACCAGAUCUGCA